AAUAAGAAGCAAUAUUUGCAAUUAGUUUCGACCUAAUAUUAAGGUUAUUAUUAACCCUUAUUU
rnacentral:tRNA from 1 species